CCUACGGGAGGCAGCAGUGGGGAAUAUUGGACAAUGGGGGGAACCCUGAUCCAGCCAUGCCGCGUGUGUGAAGAAGGCCCUCGGGUUGUAAAGCACUUUCAGUGAGGAAGAACGCCUGGUGGUUAAUACCCAUCAGGAAAGACAUCACUCACAGAAGAAGCACCGGCUAACUCCGUGCCAGCAGCCGCGGUAAUACGUAGGGUGCGAGCGUUAAUCGGAAUUACUGGGCGUAAAGCGCGCGUAGGUGGCUUGAUAAGCCGGUUGUGAAAGCCCCGGGCUCAACCUGGGAACGGCAUCCGGAACUGUCAAGCUAGAGUGCAGGAGAGGAAGGUAGAAUUCCCGGUGUAGCGGUGAAAUGCGUAGAGAUCGGGAGGAAUACCAGUGGCGAAGGCGGCCUUCUGGACUGACACUGACACUGAGGUGCGAAAGCGUGGGUAGCAAACAGGAUUAGAUACCCCAGUAGUC
rnacentral:rRNA from 1 species